rnacentral:lncRNA from 1 species
UAAAGGAGAAACUCGGGUCGGGUUGGAGCUUGAGCCUUGGAGCAGCAGAUCGGCGGCUGGGUUUUCGGCAGCAGAUCGGUGGGCGUGCAGCAGCAACUUGCGCACGGCUGGACGUGCAGCAGUUUCCUCGCGAUGGCUGGACGCAUCAGUAGAUGGCUGGACGCAACACGGCAACAGCAUGACAACAGCACGGCAACAGCAGAUCGCUGACGCAACAGUAGAUGGCCG